AACGUGUAUCGUAUACGGGUCUUUUGGAUUCAAGUUGUGAAAUGUGAUGCGAUUGCUUGAGCUUUUUCCUUGAUAUUCGAUGACUACCAUGGAUUCUCAUGGUUGCAACAUAAAUUAUUAAUUAUUAAGGAAAUAGAUAUGGCAACAGGUACAGUAAAAUGGUUCAAUGAUUCUAAAGGUUUUGGUUUUAUCACCCCGGAUGACGGCGGAGAAGACAUAUUUGCUCAUUUCUCUGCAAUCAGCAGCGGUGGUUACAAAUCACUCCGAGAAGCUCAGCGCGUUACCUUCGAUAUCACAACCGGUCCCAAAGGUAAACAAGCAUCCAAUAUCGUACCGCAGUAAAUGUAGAUUAAUUAAAAAAGCCCGACCGUUUACGGUCGGGCUUUUUU
rnacentral:sRNA from 1 species